UUUCAGUGAUGUUUAUACAAAUGUCUGACCUGAACUUUCAUGUGGACAGAUCUGUUACUGAGAGA